rnacentral:rRNA from 1 species
CCUGAGUACGACGGAGCACGUGAAAUUCCGUCGGAAUCUGGGAGGACCAUCUCCUAAGGCUAAAUACUCUCUAGUGACCGAUAGUGAACCAGUACCGUGAGGGAAAGGUGAAAAGUACCCCGGAAGGGGAGUGAAAGAGAACUUGAAACCGUGUGCUUACAAGUAGUCAGAGCCCGUUAAUGGGUGAUGGCGUGCCUUUUGUAGAAUGAACCGGCGAGUUACGAUCUGAUGCAAGGUUAAGCAGAAAAUGUGGAGCCGUAGCGAAAGCGAGUCUGAAUAGGGCGAAUGAGUAUUUGGUCGUAGACCCGAAACCAGGUGAUCUACCCUUGGUCAGGUUGAAGUUCAGGUAACACUGAAUGGAGGACCGAACCGACUUACGUUGAAAAGUGAGCGGAUGAACUGAGGGUAGCGGAGAAAUUCCAAUCGAACUUGGAGAUAGCUGGUUCUCUCCGAAAUAGCUUUAGGGCUAGCCUCAAGUGAUGAUUAUUGGAGGUAGAGCACUGUUUGGACGAGGGGCCCCUCUCGGGUUACCGAAUUCAGACAAACUCCGAAUGCCAAAUAAUUUAACUUGGGAGUCAGAAUGUGGGUGAUAAGGUC